rnacentral:rRNA from 1 species
GAUGAACGCUAGCGGCAGGCCUAAUACAUGCAAGUCGAACGGUGUCUUCGGACAUAGUGGCGCACGGGUGCGUAACACGUAUGCAACCUACCUUACAUUGGGGGAUAGCCUUUCGAAAGGGAGAUUAAUACCGCAUAAGACAGUAGCUGGGCAUCCAGCAGCUGUUAAAGAUCUAUCGGUGUAAGCUGGGCAUGCGUCCAAUUAGCUAGUUGGUGAGGUAACGGCUCACCAAGGCAAUGAUUGGUAGGGGAACUGAGAGGUCAAUCCCCCACCCUGGAACUGAGAUACGGGCCAGACUCCUACGGGAGGCAGCAGUAGGGAAUAUUGGGCAAUGGACGCAAGGCUGACCCAGCCAUGCCGCGUGCAGGAUGAAGGCGUUAUGCGUUGUAAACUGCUUUUAUACAGGAAGAAACGACUCUUGCGAGAGGCAUUGACGGUACUGUAUGAAUAAGCACCGGCUAACUCCGUGCCAGCAGCCGCAGUAAGAC